CUGUUCUUUGCCAACUGGAACUCCCUACAGGCCAAAUCACAGCUCUCGCCUCUUCAAAGCUCUUCUAUAAUCCAUCUCCUUCAGGAAGCCUUCCCCCAUUAUUUUACAACACCCCCCCGGGCAUCAUCCUCAAAGCCACCUUCAUUUCUGUCCCCGGGACCUAUGAGCCAAUUACAGAAAAUGUCUGAUCUGUGGAAACGCUGCUCUCUUUUCAAUCCUGGAUCGUAUGUGAACGCUUGGAAAGCCGUAAGCGGGCGCGUCGCUGACACCAUAUCUAUCAAAAGACCCUCUUCCUAUUCCUCGAGUUAUUGAUGUGGUCUCGGGGGUGUAAGUUGUUUUAUUUGAAACGAGCCAAUUAUCUUCCAGGAAAGGAACUUCUCGUUCUGGGAAGACCGUGCUGAAUCGCGGGGUUUUGAUGGAGUUACAUCCAUCUGCCGAGAUUUAAUAUUAUUUCUGCUUGUUGUGCAAAUGGCAACCCACCUUAAAAGGGCCAGCGAUGCAAAACUUUCAUAACGGCAAAUUAGGGAGUUACGGAGGCUCUUUUCUUGCUCUUGGGACUUCAGAUCUUCGUUGAUUUUCAAAUUUUUCCCAGUAGGAAGCUAGUUUCUUCACUCCCCCAAACAAAUACACGCCUACCGCUUUUAGUUCCCUUUUCCUACGCGAUCUUUAACAAACUGGGUAAUGUGCAACUGACUCAAGCAGACUCUCAGACUCAACCUGGGCCACUUUUUGCAACACUAUUAUGUGCCUGUCUAGUAAAGGGACCUGGAUUUUCCUGGAGGGAAAGAAACUGAAAAAUUUAAAGCUGAUCUUGCCCUCCAGGUUUUAGGUUUAAAAGGCCUAUAAUUAGAAAGAGAAGUUCAAGGAAAAUUAAAAGUGUUUAUUUUUUUUUUCCUGGAAACAUUUUACUUUGUCCUAAAGCUGACAGGUUUUGUGGUGUUAUUUUGGUGUGCUGUUUUGGUGUGUAGCAGAAUGACACCAAAAAUAAGCCAGUAUUGGUAUGUGGAAGAAGGGAAUGAGUUCGCGAACAGUCUCUGGCCGGAAAAAACGUUUUUGAGCAGAGAAGGCUGAUGUAGGCCGCUUAAUUGAUCUCUGGGUUACAACCAUUUGAAAGAGGAGUCUAUUCUUCAUUUUUAGAGAUAAUGUUUGCAGUAGAACUGUUGGAAGAACAAUUCAAUCAGAUGAUCAAGAUUCAGCCGACUCUCAGUCUCUUUCUCUCAUGACCCUAUCUUUAAAUUAUAUAUCACAACUUUUAAUUAGAUGGUAUAAAAUUACCUAUCUAUAUUAAUGCCUGUCUCCCCUUCUAGACUGUAAGGUCCUUGUGUCUGCUAACUUUUCCAAGUGGUUAAUACAACGCUCUGCAAAUAGUAAGAGCUCGAUAAAUACCAUGAUUGAUUUUCAACUACCCUGAUUUUGGCUAAUUCCCGCAUUUCAUCAGCACCCUUGCUCGAGGACCGAUCUGGAGAAAGGAGGGGAGGUGAAAUUCACACCGGUUCAGAGUUCUAUUUGUUGGCAGCCCUGGCAAAAAGAGAGAUGGAAGGAAGGAAGGUUGGAAACCGAAAUAAACUUUUUUGAUUAUUUGUGGA